GCCUGGCUGGCUCAGUCGGUAGAGCAUGCAACUCUUGAUCCUGGGUUAUAAGUUCAAGCCUUAUGUUGGGCA
rnacentral:tRNA from 1 species